UUCAGGUCUACAGAGUCUCCAGUCUGGUUCAGGUCUACAGGUCUACAGAGUCUCAGUCUGGUUCAGGUCUACAGAGUCCCAGUCUGGUUCAGGUCUACAGGUCUACAGAGUCCCAGUCUGGUUCAGGUCUACAGAGUCUCAGUCUGGUUCAGGUCUACAGGUCUACAGAGUCUCAGUCUGGUUCAGGUCUACAGAG